GACGAACGCUGGCGGCGUGCCUAAUACAUGCAAGUCGAGCGAAUGAUGAGAAGCUUGCUUCUCUGAUUUAGCGGCGGACGGGUGAGUAACACGUGGGCAACCUGCCCUGUAGACUGGGAUAACUUCGGGAAACCGGAGCUAAUACCGGAUAAUUCUUUUAGCCUCAUGGCUUUAAGCUAAAAGGCGCUUCGGCGUCACUACAGGAUGGGCCCGCGGUGCAUUAGCUAGUUGGUGGGGUAACGGCCUACCAAGGCAACGAUGCAUAGCCGACCUGAGAGGGUGAUCGGCCACAUUGGGACUGAGACACGGCCCAAACUCCUACGGGAGGCAGCAGUAGGGAGUCUUCCACAAUGGACGAAAGUCUGAUGGAGCAACGCCGCGUGAGUGAUGAAGGUUUUCGGAUCGUAAAACUCUGUUGUAAGGGAAGAACAAGUGCGUUAGGUAAUGAACGCACCUUGACGGUACCUUAUUAGAAAGCCACGGCUAACUACGUGCCAGCCGCCGCGGUAA
rnacentral:rRNA from 1 species